rnacentral:rRNA from 1 species
AACGUAGGAGACAAACGUUAUCCGGAUUUAUUGGGCGUAAAGAGCGUGUAGGCGGCCAGGUAGGUCUGCUGUGAAAACUCGAGGCUCAACCUCGAGACGUCGGCGGAAACCAUCUGGCUAGAGUCCGGAAGAGGAGAGUGGAAUUCCUGGUGUAGCGGUGAAAUGCGCAGAUAUCGGGAGGAACACCGGUGGCGAAGGCGGUUCUCUGGGCCUGACCUGACGCUGAGGAGCGAAAGCGUGGGGAGCGAACAGG